ACGUAGGGGGCAAGCGUUGUCCGGAAUGACUGGGCGUAAAGGGCGUGUAGGCGGCCGAUUAAGUCUGGAGUGAAAGUCCUGCUUUCAAGGUGGGAAUUGCUUUGGAGACUGGUUGGCUUGAGUGCGGAAGAGGCUAGUGGAAUUCCCAGUGUAGCGGUGAAAUGCGUAGAGAUUGGGAGGAGCAGCGGUGGCGAAGGCGGCUAGCUGGGCUGUAACUGACGCUGGGGCGCGAAAGUGUGGGGAGCGAACAG
rnacentral:rRNA from 1 species